UGCGGAAGUGGCGGAAUUGGUAUACGCGCUACCUUGAGGUGGUAGUGAGGGUGACCUCGUGGGGGUUCAAGUCCCCCCUUUCGCAU
rnacentral:tRNA from 1 species